GACGAACGCUGGCGGCGUGCUUAACACAUGCAAGUCGAACGGAAAGGCCCUGCUUUUGUGGGGUGCUCGAGUGGCGAACGGGUGAGUAACACGUGAGUAACCUGCCCUUGACUUUGGGAUAACUUCAGGAAACUGGGGCUAAUACCGGAUAGGAGCUCCUGCUGCAUGGUGGGGGUUGGAAAGUUUCGGCGGUUGGGGAUGGACUGGCGGCUUAUCAGCUUGUUGGUGGGGUAGUGGCUUACCAAGGCUUUGACGGGUAGCCGGCCUGAGAGGGUGACCGGACACAUUGGGACUGAGAUACGGCCCAGACUCCUACGGGAGGCAGCAGUGGGGAAUAUUGCACAAUGGGCGGAAGCCUGAUGCAGCAACGCCGCGUGCGGGAUGACGGCCUUCGGGUUGUAAACCGCUUUCGCCUGUGACGAAGCGUGAGUGACGGUAAUGGGUAAAGAAGCACCGGCUAACUACGUG
rnacentral:rRNA from 1 species